CCGCGGUAAUACGAAGGGUGCAAGCGUUACUCGGAAUUACGGGGCGUAAAGAGCUCGUAGGCGGUCUGUUAAGUCGGGUGUGAAAGCCCUCGGCUCAACCGAGGAAUUGCACUCGAUACUGGCAGGCUAGAGUCAAGCAGAGGGAAGUGGAAUUCCCGGUGUAGCGGUGAAAUGCGCAGAUAUCGGGAAGAACACCGGUGGCGAAGGCGGCUUCCUGGGCUUGUACUGACGCUGAGGAGCGAAAGCUAGGGGAGCGAACAGG
rnacentral:rRNA from 1 species